UUGGAGCAUUUUGGAGCAAAAUUGGGCUAGAAUGGAGUUCAUGCACAUGAAGCACAAGGGAUGGACGAAUUUGAGGAAUUGAUGAAGCUUGGAAGGCGUUUCAAAGUUGAAGAAUUGAAGAUACAAAGUUUCCUAAUUGAAGUAGGAAAGGGCUUACAUGAAGGAUUCCUAAAUGAAGAAGGAUUCCUAAUCAAUGUAGGAGUCCUAAUUGAAGAUGGAUUCCUAGACGAAUAAAGUUUCCUACUCAAGCAAGGUUUCCUAUGUGAAGAAGAAGAGUAAAGUCAAAGAAUCAGCUCAAGAGAAGGAUCUUAUCCAAAACCUCAUCCAUAACCUUAUCUUAGCUUAUCUUAUCCAAUCAAACCUUAUCCUAUCUUAUCUUAUCCUUAUCCUAAACUAUCCACAUUUCAGCCACUUAGGAGGGUUUCUAAUUAGAUUAGGAUGCUUAAAAUGGGAUUUCUAGAAGCCCUAUCCCUUCCUAGAUAAGUGCCGCACCCUAUACCUUAAUUCCCUUGGAAUUUCAGAUUUCUAGAAGCCUUAUCUUUUCACACUCUUUGUGCCGCACCUUAUCUCCCAAUCCCUUUGGGUUUUUGACUUGUUUUCCUUAUAGGAUUGUACGUUAUUAUCCUAUGCAACUUAGGCUUUUAAAACCUUGUCCUUGGCUACCUAGGAGAUGGGAUUUUCAGCCUAUAAAUACAAGGCCUUGCCGCACAUAUCACUCACCACCCUCUACCAGAUUUUCACUACACCAUUCACCCAACCAUCCCUCAUUGUGCCGUGAGUUUGCAAGGAGAAGAAGGAAGACAACUUGGAGCCGUGCAUGCCAUUCAAGACGUUGGAUUGUUGGAGCGUUUCUAGGUGUUUUCUAUCUUUAUGUCAAUGUUUAAAUAUAUUUAUCUUUGUUUAUUUGCGAACAUGAGGAACUAAUUUCUUUAUAGUUAGAGGGGAAUUCAAAGCCAUGAUCAUAUGUUUUAUAUGAUUUGAUUGAUUUCAUGAAUCGUGAAUGUGGUUUACUUAUCUAUUUGAUUGAUAACAUGUUUAUGUAUGUUGAUUGAGGGUCGACACUUAGUUUGCAUGCAUGAAUUUGAUGCUAGAGUAUAAGGGAAUUUCACCUAAUCGUUAUUAACUUAUAUUCAUAAGUAGAAAAAGUCGCUAGUCACGAUUGUGUUAAGUAAAUCCUAGGCAAGAGUAACAUGCGUAUCCCAUAGUUAUGAAUGCCUCGUCAAUGCUUAUGAUUUCCAUUGAACUUAAUGAUCUUUGAUAUGUGUCUCUAUCAUGCGUAUUCCAUAGUUAGGGUCCUUGAUAAGAAUAAUUUGGUUGUAAUGCGUAUCCCAUUCAAUUCAAUGAAUCUAGGGAAAUCUGAGAAUUAAUUGGUCAAUCUAGUUAAUUUGGGGCAUUGUCAUUCAUGGUUUAUUGAAAGAGUAAUUGGAAAUCGAGUCGUAUGCAUAUGUUUCAUGUGUGGAGAAGGAACCUUCUAACGAGCCUUUCACCAUCUUAGUUUUCAUCAAAACGUUUUUGUCAAAGUUUGUUUUCAAAGUUUCUGUUUUCAAAGUUAAAUUCGUCCAAAAUCAAUCCCCCUUUACUUAGUUGAGUCAUAGUAGUUAGAAAUCACUUUAGUUUGUGUUUUUAAGUGUCUUAGGUCAAGUUAAAACCAAUUUUCGUCCAAGUCUGUGUCUAGUGUUCAAAACUGCCCAAAUUGUGGUUUUAAGGCAG
rnacentral:lncRNA from 1 species